UACGUAGGGGGCAAGCGUUGUCCGGAUUCAUUGGGCGUAAAGAGCGUGUAGGCGGCCAGGUAGGUCGGUUGUGAAAACUGGAGGCUCAACCUUCAGAGGUCGACCGAAACCAUCUGGCUAGAGUCCGGGAGAGGAGAGUGGAACUCCUGGUGUAGCGGUGAAAUGCGCAGAUAUCAGGAGGAACACCAGUUGCGAAGGCAGCUCGGUGGGACGUUACUGACGCUGAGACGCGAAAGCGUGGGGAGCAAACAGG
rnacentral:rRNA from 1 species